GACUUGAUGGGGAGGGCAUUUAUGCAGGAGAUCCCUAAAGCAUUCCCAUGUCUCAAAAAAAUGUUCCUUAUCUAUCUAUGAGAAACUAGUGAUUGCCUUCCUCAGCC